UUCUGUACAAAGAGGACACAGACACAGAAUAUACCUUGCAAUCUGUACAGAUUUUCUAAGCAGAAUUACAAUGAAGCAGAAUUUUAUCUGUAAAGAUUAUUACACAAGACAGAAUUUUAACACUUAUAAUUUUUACAAGACAGAUUUUUAGCACUUUGCAUUUUAGCCAGGCAGAAUUUCUGUACUUGGUAGAAAAAUGAGGCAGAAUGUUGGACUUAGAAAAAAUUUAGAUUCAACAUUUCAAAAUGGGACUUGUAAAAUUUAAGAAACAGACUUCUGAUUUCAGUUUCUUAUUGUUUAUUGCAGGAAACAUUUCUCUAUUCACCGAAAACUAACAGUUAUGUUCAAUUCAUACAAUAGUUAAAAUGACCAAAAAAUACAGCAUAUUAUUAGCAAAAAAAAAACAAACAGCAGUACCUAUUGUUCAUACCAUAAGGAACAUAGAAAGUUACAAUUUAAUCCAACAGGCUUCAAGAAAAAUCUACAAUGGAGUGAAAUAAGGUUUAAUUUUUUUACAAAGUUUUUAUUCUUUGCUUAUUGCUGGAUAAAUUGUCCCAAAAUACUGAAAAUUGCUAGGACAUUUUGUCUGCUGUUUGUCAGCAGUGACAUUUUCAAUGAUAUCCAAGAUAGAGAGAGAUCCAAUUACCCAAGUUUACCCAAACACCAGCGUCAGGUGUGAUAAAUUUACUCCUAUUUCAGCACAUUUACUUUACUUGGCUCUCGUUCUAUGAAAAUAUUCAUUUGAAUGCCAGUGCUUAAACAUAACAAAUUUUGUGACAAAAAAUAAAAAUACCAUUAUAAAUAGGAACAAUUAAGAAAUUAAGACAUAACAUUAUUAAAGUGUUGUAAUAUAUAUGGUUUUAAAGAUGUUUGGUUUAGUCUACUUUAAAAAGGUGGUUUAGUCUACUUUGAAAAGGAUAGUACACUUGUAAGUGUGCGACAAAAUCUCAGAGACUUGACAUUCGAAGUUUUCAAGCGAAAAUCAAAAUGUUCCAUGAAAUGGGGCGCAGAAGACUAUGAGGAAAGAAUUAUUAUUACCAGAGAUGGUUCAACUGAUGGAACAUUAUCCAUCCACAAUAAAAAGAUUUGGAUUGCGCAAGUUUUGCAGUGCUGCCUUUUACCUGAUGGUGAAACUUAGUUCCGGCCAUAAAUCCGAGGGAGACACAAGAACGGUCAAGAUGUCAGGUUCUGGCGGGGAACAAGCAUGACAUAAAGCCUGUGCUGAAUGCCGUCAUCAUUUCUGCCUGCAAAGGUUAUGUCUGGAUGUGGUGCAAAGACCACAGCAAAACAGUGCCAGAUGACACCUCCUUCAACAAGGCAGUGACACUCCAAAUAGACUACUCCAGGAAAUAAAUGAAAUCAUCUUGUUUAAAUUGAGACUAAAAAUAGGGGGUGUUAGAUUUUUUUAAU